rnacentral:rRNA from 1 species
GACGAACGCUGGCGGCGUGCCUAAUACAUGCAAGUCGGGCGGGGUUUUGAGAGGCUUGCCUUUCAAAACCCAGCGGCGGACGGGUGAGUAACACGUGGGCAACCUGCCCGCAAGACCGGGAUAACUCCGGGAAACCGGGGCUAAUACCGGAUAGGACCUCGGAUCGCAUGGUCCGGGGUGGAAAGGUGGCGCAAGCUGCCGCUUGCGGAUGGGCCCGCGGCGCAUUAGCUAGUUGGUGAGGUAACGGCUCACCAAGGUGACGAUGCGUAGCCGACCUGAGAGGGUGACCGGCCACACUGGGACUGAGACACGGCCCAGACUCCUACGGGAGGCAGCAGUAGGGAAUUUUCCGCAAUGGGCGCAAGCCUGACGGAGCAACGCCGCGUGAGCGAGGACGGCCUUCGGGUUGUAAAGCUCUGUUCUUCGGGAAGAAUGACGGGAGAGCGAACAACUCUUCCGUUUGACGGUACCGAAGGAGAAAGCCCCGGCUAACUAC